CAGAGCCACUGACACACCAGCAGCACAAUGAUGAUGUCACUGACUCUACUGCUGACCAUCCUGGGGCUCCUGGUUCAGAGUUCUUCAGGAGACAUCAUCUUGACUCUGACUCCUGGAGCUCAGUCUGCUGUUCAGGGACAGACCGUCUCCAUCAGGUGUAAAUCUGACCGACUGAUAGGUGAUGACAUCAACUGGUAUCUUCAGAAGCCUGGAGAAGCUCCCAAACUUUUGAUUUAUGAUACCACAGAACGUCAGUCUGGAGUUCCUGAGCGUUUUCGUGCAAAAGCAGAACAGACUGACUUCACUUUAACCAUCAGUGGAGUUCAGGUUGAGGAUGCAGGAGUUUACUAUUGUCAGCAACGUAACAGCUUCCCACUCACACAGUGAUACAAGGCCGUACAAAAACCUCAGAGAGAAAGAGGAACUGAUCUGACUCAAAAUGUUACAGGGGAAAAAAUCAUAAUUUUAAUAAACUAAAGACAAAUUAUUUUCUAUUAAUUAAUAAUAAGAGCAAUACAGUUCCUGUUUGAAAGCUUUUUUGAUU